CGUGAGUCAUUUCCCUGCAUUCUAUUGGUCAAAACACCCCGGCCAGAACUCAGGGGAGGGCAAAUAGACCCCACCCCCGGAUGGGCGGGGCACGUUGCAAAGAGCCAGUAGGUCUGCAGACUCUCGGCCACCGGCCACCGGCCACCGGCCCCCAGUGAUUAGGGCAGGUGCAAAAGUCGUGCCACAGAUGCCGCGACGAGCUCGGCGAGCAACAGCCUUGGAGACAGUGUUGGUGUCCAACACGGGAAUGUUCCAGAGACCAGCACCGGGGAUAAUCUCCGAGAUCAGGGCAGGCGGGGCUGGGAUUACGUGUCUCCCUCGCGAAAUUGAGUCAUGAAACUUUUAUUAAAGGAUGUAGUUUGUCACCGCCAAGAAAACAAGGCAAUUCUGGGCAGCCGGGGCAUCCAUUUUCCCAAGACUUCUUUGACAGAGGGCUGCCUCCUUGGCAAACGUUCGGAGCUGAGUACUCUACAGCUAUCACCUUCCGUGGUCCUUCAACAUCCCUGGGAGGAACUCACACUCACUCUACUUUAUAGACGCGGGCCGGGCACCAGAGAGCCUAAGUGAUUCGGCCAAGGUCACGCAGCCGGACUGACUGAUGUGUGCUCAGAAGCCCGAGAGAGAGAAGUCAGCCUACCUGCGAGUGUAACGUCGCUUUGAAAUCGUAAAUCUAAUCCUAUGACUUA